UACGUAGGUGGCGAGCGUUGUCCGGAUUUACUGGGCGUAAAGAGCGCGCAGGCGGUCGUGCAAGUCGCGUGUGAAAGCCCCCGGCUCAACUGGGGAGGGUCACGCGAUACUGCUCGACUUGAAGGCAGGAGAGGGAAGUGGAAUUCCCGGUGUAGUGGUGAAAUGCGUAGAUAUCUGGAGGAACACCGGUGGCGAAGGCGGCGUUCUGGACUGCAACUGACACUGAUGAACGAAAGCCAGGGGAGCAAACGGG
rnacentral:rRNA from 1 species